AUUGAACGCUGGCGGCAUGCCUUACACAUGCAAGUCGAACGGCAGCGGGGGUAGCUUGCUACCUGCCGGCGAGUGGCGAACGGGUGAGUAAUACAUCGGAACGUGCCCUGUAGUGGGGGAUAACUAGUCGAAAGACUAGCUAAUACCGCAUACGACCUGGGGGUGAAAGUGGGGGACCGCAAGGCCGCCUGCUAUAGGAGCGGCCGAUGUCGGAUUAGCUAGUUGGUGGGGUAAAGGCCAACCAAGGCGACGGUCAGUAGCUGGUCUGAGAGGACGAUCAGCCACACUGGGACUGAGACACGGCCCAGACUCCUACGGGGGGCAGCAGUGGGGAAUUUUGGACAAUGGGGGCAACCCUGAUCCAGCAAUGCCGCGUGUGUGAAGAAGGCCUUCGGGUUGUAAAGCACUUUUGUCCGGAAAGAAAUCGCACUGGUUAAUACCUGGUGUGGAUGACGGUACCGGAAGAAUAAGGACCGGCUAACUACGUGCCAGCCGCCGCAGUAA
rnacentral:rRNA from 1 species